UUCUCUCAAGUUGCCAAACAAG
rnacentral:miRNA from 1 species